AGUGAACGCUGGCGGUAGGCCUAACACAUGCAAGUCGAACGAGUGGCGGACGCGUGAGGAAUACAUCGGAAUCUACUCUGUCGUGUGGGAUAACGUAGGGAAACUUACGCUAAUACCGCGUACGAUUGCAUGAGCCGAUAGCGGAUUAGCUAGUUGGCGGGGUAAAGGCUCACCAAGGAGACGAGCCGUAGCGGGUCUGAGAGGAUGACCAGCCACAAUGGAACUGAAACACGGUCAAGACUCCUACGGGAGGCAGCAGUGGGGAAUAGUGGACAAUGGGCGCAAGCCUGAUCCAGCCAUACCGCGUGGGUGAAAAAGGCCUUCGGGAUGUAAAGCCCUUUUAUUGGGAAAGCGGUACCCAAAGCAGAAGCACCGGCUAACUACGUGCCCGCAGCCGCGGUAAUUC
rnacentral:rRNA from 1 species